UGUUUGGGGUAGUAUUUUGAAGCUUUUAGUGGAUGUAUAGGCUAAUAUGUUUGGACGUUGAUACGAUAUUUCUGGUGUAGGUUUAUCUGGAAUACCAGAGUUUCCAUGUGAAAAACUGUUUAAAUAAUGGGAUUAUACGAUGUGAAUUGAAACAUCUUAGUAGCAUCAGGUAAAGGAAAUCAACCGAGACUCCGUUAGUAGUGGUGAGCGAGUGCGGACCAGGCUUAAUACUUGUUUGAAUCUUAGAAAUUCCAUAGAGGGUGAGAGUCCCGUAUUAGAUUUGAAUUUUUUUUUUUUUUUGUUUUGGUAUGAGUGAGUAAAGCGGAAUGUUAUUUUGCUUGAAUAUAGGAGGACCACCUUCUAAGCCUAAGUAUACAUAUUAGACCGAUAGUGAACUAGUACCGUGAGGGAAAUAUGAAAAGUACCCAUGUAGAUGGAAGGGGGUGAAAUAGAACCUGAAACUAAAAGUGAUUAAGCAGUUGUGACUUUUUUUAUAGUUUCAACGUACCUUUUGCAUAAUGGGUCAGCAAGUUAAUUUAUAUAGCAAGCUUAAAUCGUUAGAUGUAGGCCUAGUGAAAGCGAGUAUUAAAUUGCGUUAGUUAUAUAAAUUAGACCCGAAACCAAGUGAUCUAACUAUGGACAAGUUGAAGGUUGGAGAAAUCCAAAAGGAGGACUGAACCCAAAUAUGUUGCAAAAUAUUGGGAUGAUCUGUUGUUAGGGGUGAAAGGCUAAUCAAACUUGGAAAUAGCUGGUUUUCUGCGAAAUAUAUUUAGGUAUAGUGUUAUACGUUAAUCUUUGGGGGUAAAGCACUGCAAAUUUAUGGGUAACUAAUGUUAUACUAUAUUUUAGUAAACUCUGAAUACCAAAGAAUAUUUUAUAACAAUCAGACUAUGGGUGCUAAGGUCCAUAGUCAAGAGGGGAACAGCCCAGACCACAAAUUAAGGACCCAAAAUAAAUACUAAGUGCUAUUAAGGAAGUCAUAUAUACGAAGAUAUCCAGGAGGUGGGCUUGGAAGCAGCCAUCCUUUAAAGAAAGCGUAACAGCUCACUGGUUGAUGUAAUUUGGCGCCGAAAAUGUAGAGGGGCUAAGUAUUUUUCCGACAUUGUGGAUUAAACGUGAGUUUAAUGGUAGCAGAACAAUCUGUAUUAUAUGAAAAUUAUAUUGAAAGAUAUAAUUUUGGAAUCAGAUGAGAGAAUGCUGACAUGAGUAACGUAAAUAUUGUAACAAUAAUCAUUAUUGCUGAAUGUCUAAGGUUUUCUAACGUGAUAGUUAAUAGCGUAGAGUUAGUCGGCCCCUAAGUUCUAACAAGAAUGAUGGGUAAUUAUGUAUUAAAGGACGAGAAUUCAAAGUAUUAUAUUUAUAUAUGGCUAAUAUUAUAAUAUAAUGUUUUCUUCAGGAAAAUUUUAAUAUUUUAGUUUUAAACUAUUUUAAGGUUAAUCCUUAAAAUUUAAAUACCGUACUAUAAACCGACACUGGUGGACAAGUAGAGUAUACUGAAGUUAUGAGAUAAUAUUGUUGAAGGAACUCGGCAAAAUGACUCUGUAACUUAGGGAUAAGGAGGGCCUCGAAAGAGGUGGCACAUAAUAGGGAGGAGCGACUGUUUACUAAAAACACAAUACUCUGCUAAAUCUUAUCAGAUGAAGUAUAGGGUAUGACACCUGCCCGGUUCUGGAAGGCUAAAUUAGUUGGUGAGAGCUAACUAUAUAUCCCCCAGUAAACGGCGGCUGUAACCAUAACGGUCCAAAGGUAGCGAAAUUCCUUGACGGGUAAGUUCCGUCCUGCAUGAGUGGUGUAACGACUUCUCCGCUGUCUCCAACAAUAACUCAGUGAAAUUGCAUUCUCCGUGAAGAUGCGGAGUAUUAGUAGUAAGACGGAAAGACCCUAUGAAUCUUUACUAUAACUAUAAAUAGUCUAUUCGAACAGUUAGAGUAGCAUAGAUGGAUUGCAAGUAAUGCAGCAGUGAAAUACCAUCCUUACUGAUCGUCUAGACUCACCAUAAGGGACAAUUUAUAGCGGGUAGUUUGACUGGGGCGGUCACCUCCUAAAGAGUAACGGAGGUGUGCGAAGGUAGGCUCAAAUAGGUCGGAAAUCUAUUGUAGAGUGUAAUGGCAUAAGCCUGCUUAACUGAAAGACAAACAAGUCAACCAGAGACGUAAGUCGGCCAUAGUGAUCCGAUAGUACUUAGUGGAAAGGCUAUCGCUCAACGGAUAAAAGAUACUCUAGGGAUAACAGGCUGAUGACUCCCAAGAGCUCAUAUCGACGGAGUCGUUUGGCACCUCGAUGUCGGCUCAUCACAUCCUGGAGCUGAAGGAGGUUCCAAGGGUUUGGCUGUUCGCCAAUUAAAGUGGUACGUGAGCUGGGUUUAGAACGUCGUGAGACAGUUCGGUCCCUAUCUACUACUAAUGUAUAAAAACUUAAAGAAGCCGACCCUAGUACGAGAGGACCGGGGAGGAGAUACCAAUAGUGUACCAACUGUUUCUCCAGAAGCAUCGUUGGGUAGCCACGUAUCGAACUAUUAACUGCUGAAAGCAUCUAAGCAGGAAAUACAUCUUUAAGCUAGUUUUUAACUCAGAUGUAAUAGACUAUUACAAAUUAUUAAAAUAGGUUACAAGUGUAAGCACAGUAAUGUGUGUAGCUAAGUAAUACUAAAAACUGAAUAACCCAAACAUA
rnacentral:rRNA from 1 species